rnacentral:ncRNA from 1 species
AUAAAUCCUAUGAAGGGAAGCAAGUAAGCUUGGAAACAGAUUUACAGAGAGCUGCAGAGGGUGGAAUUGCAGUAAUUAUGUCUAGGCCGAAUGGGUCCUUGAGGAUUUUGGCGAAAUGGCAGUAGCCAAUAACGUGGGCUUCAUGUUAUAGAAGCAGGAUAUAAAGUCCCUUGGGAUGGAGUAUCUGUAAUGAGGAGAAGCAUUUUGCUUCUUGAAUUAGGUGGUACCGCGUUUAUUACGCCCUAUAG